GACUCUCUGGUCUGUAACUGACGCUGAGGAGCGAAAGCGUGGGGAGCGAACAGGAUUAGAUACCCUGGUAGUCCACGCCGUAAACGAUGAGUGCUAAGUGUUAGGGGGUUUCCGCCCCUUAGUGCUGCAGCUAACGCAUUAAGCACUCCGCCUGGGGAGUACGGUCGCAAGACUGAAACUCAAAGGAAUUGACGGGGGCCCGCACAAGCGGUGGAGCAUGUGGUUUAAUUCGAAGCAACGCGAAGAACCUUACCAGGUCUUGACAUCCUCUGACAACCCUAGAGAUAGGGCUUUCCCUUCGGGGACAGAGUGACAGGUGGUGCAUGGUUGUCGUCAGCUCGUGUCGUGAGAUGUUGGGUUAAGUCCCGCAACGAGCGCAACCCUUGAUCUUAGUUGCCAGCAUUCAGUUGGGCACUCUAAGGUGACUGCCGGUGACAAACCGGAGGAAGGUGGGGAUGACGUCAAAUCAUCAUGCCCCUUAUGACCUGGGCUACACACGUGCUACAAUGGACAGAACAAAGGGCUGCGAGACCGCAAGGUUUAGCCAAUCCCACAAAUCUGUUCUCAGUUCGGAUCGCAGUCUGCAACUCGACUGCGUGAAGCUGGAAUCGCUAGUAAUCGCGGAUCAGCAUGCCGCGAGAAUACGUUCCCGGGCCUU
rnacentral:rRNA from 1 species